rnacentral:rRNA from 1 species
CCUACGUGAGGCAGCAGUGGGGAAUAUUGCGCAAUGGGCGAAAGCCUGACGCAGCGACGCCGCGUGAGGGAUGAAGGUCUUCGGAUCGUAAACCUCUGUCAGCAGGGAAGAACGGUCACUGUGCUAAUCAGCAGUGAAUUGACGGUACCUGCAAAGGAAGCACCGGCUAACUCCGUGCCAGCAGCCGCGGUAAUACGGAGGGUGCGAGCGUUAAUCGGAAUUAAUGGGCGUAAAGCGCUCGUAGGCGGUAUGUUAAGUCCAGGGUGAAAUCCCCGGGGUCAACGGUGGAACUGCCUUUGAAACUGGCAAACUGGAGUGGUGUGGGGGGAAGUGGAAAUUCUGGUGGAGGGGUGAAAUCCGUAGAUAUCUUGAGGAACCUCAAUGGCGAAGGCGGCUAUCUUGCAAAUAACUGACGCUGAGGAGCGAAAGCGUGGGUAGCAAACAGGAUUAGAUACCCUAGUAGUC